UGUGGGAACUGUUUGAAAUUUCAUUUGAUUAUCUGAGAUCUGAGUGAUACUCAGAAAAUACAGUAAAUAGUGGCUACUAUUAUGGUGGCUGAGACUAUAAAUAUUAUGACCAAAGAUAAAGUCAGGAAUUAAAGCUAAAAUUAAAGAAAGGAAAACCUUCUUUCCUCCACGCUUCCUUUGAGUCCCUUCCUGCUAGAAGAAGGGCAAAGGGAACCACGUUGCUUGGAGAAGAAUUCAGAGAGGCUGAGAAUAAGGCACAGGUGUGUAAACACACACAAUAAUUACCUCAUUAAUAUGAAAACCAGUAGGAAACAGACUCAUUCCAGAGGGCAGGGCUGGGCCAGCAUAGAAUGCUCUAGAAGGAGCCUCUGGCCAGCGUUAUAAUUCUUCUGAGGUGUGAGGCUGGCUUGCAAUGUUUUUCCAGCCCCUGCAGCUAUGAAGGAGGAGCCGAGACCACCCAAGAGCGCCCUCUAAUCCCACUUCCAGUCUUCCUCGCCUUUCUCUACUCGCUGAAGGUGUUGACUUCAUAGUACCUCAUGUUAGCCUUCACAUGUGCUGUCUCCGGUGAGGACUGGCAGUACCAUAAUCCUAACAGCAGAGAUGAAGGACUGACAUGUGGAGAAAAUACGCAUCUUGCCGAAACUUGUUUGCAGUAAAAGACAGUGAAAGAAAAACGUGGGAGGAGAUCAAGCUUUCAAGCAUACAAACUGUCCUUAGAUGAACCCAACGUACACUUUGUUUAUUUUGUGACUCUUCACUGCCCUCCUCACUUCUAGCCUUCAAAAGGUUAGGUGUCCCCCAUAUCCCUUGCAGAGCAAGAGCCCAUCGAUGGACUUGCAUUCUUUCUUCCAGACUACGCGGAUUUCCUCACCUUAGUAAAAGCCCCUCAUGGGCCUCCUCUCACAGAGAAGGGAAUGGAGAUGCCCAGGCUGUCUGGAAUGACUUGCUCAAUGUCAUUGAACGUGUGGUGGCCGAGUCAAAUUUAUAGGGAAAGCUGCUGCUGACGGGGUCUGUCCUCCAACCAGCAGCCUGGGUCGACACCCAUGAAAUAAACUUGGAGAAUGAGUGAGUAACUCAUCAGUGAUGAUAACAGUGGAGAUCGGAAGGGGGCCCUGUUUUUGUUUGUGGAUCAUCAGAAUUUCACCCUUGCUGUCCCAGAAUACCUUCAGGCCUUCCCUGAGAACUCCCCUAGAGGUGCACUGGCGUCACCUCGCGGCCUGCAGGUCGUUCCUCUCAGAUGACCUCUGAUUGCUGCACUGGGCACUGGACCUACAAGAAGCAAAGGAGGCCAAGAAGAGGAAGAGGCGGGUGCUACCAGCACCCAGUUACCGCCGAAGGCACUUGCUCUGUUGUGAGCCCAGUACCGGGCGAUGCAUCGGUCCCUUCCGUCCCAAGCGCCAUGCCUGCCCGGGCUCCGUUCCCAGCCCCUGAAGCCAGGGCCCUGCAAGGCACUCGAUACACUCUCCAGUCUGCUUCCAAUGUGGCCAAGUUGUUCUCUCUCACUAUUGACAGCUUUUGGCCUGAAAAAGCUAAAUCCAGUACAAGAUUUACAUAACAGUUCAAGACAACAGAGGAUUUGUCACAGGGCGGCACAUGAUUAAUUGCCAAAUAAACCACACGGACAGCCUCGUGGCUACAGGGGUCGAGCCUCCUCGGGUCCUUUCUGGAAGUAAGCAGGGCACGCAUCGUGAACAAGCAUAAAUGAACAAGCUGGCUGAGAGGAAAGAUGUCAGAGCAGACGGAGGAAAUUAAGCGAUGUGCUUCUAAAUGGCCCAUGACCAACUGGACCAUGCAAGAAAUAUUGGGCCACAAAAGGAUCUUACCAUUUUAAUAAGUCAAAAACCAGUUGAAUGUUGAUCAUUUCAUAUGGUUCAGCUUAAACAUCAUGGUGUUUGAUAAACGUUUUUAUACUCA